GACUAAGUAGGAGUCGCAUGAAGUUGGGGAAAGCCUUAAAGACUGUGAGGAAGCAGAUUUGAAUUCCUUUUGGAAGGGAGGAUCCAGAGACGAUUGCUGGGUUCACUGAUUGCUCCCUUGCUAUUUGCAACUGUCUUCUUGUCUCUCCUUUGCAGAGUUGUCUUCUUCAGGAAAGUCUUCUAGCCUUGGUCAGAUCCAAUAGAACAUGAUUAUAGAUGAGGAAAUUGACCUGCCCAGUGGAGGUGUGACUUGAAUCCAGCAGUGUUCCAGCUUUGGUCCUAGAGCAAAGACUGCUUGACAAAGCCACAGCUGAUGCACAAUGGAUAUGCAGUGAGUUCAAGAAAUAAACCUUUGAGGGGUGGGGCCAAGAUGGCAGAGUAGUCAGAUGCUUCUGGUGGACACUCUUACAACAAAGAUCUGAAAAAACAAGUGAAUUGAUUA